GACGAACGCUGGCGGCGUGCUUAACACAUGCAAGUCGAACGAUGAAGCCCAGCUUGCUGGGUGGAUUAGUGGCGAACGGGUGAGUAACACGUGGGCAACCUGCCCCAAACUCUGGGAUAACUCCUCGAAAGAGGUGCUAAUACCGGAUACGAACUAGACAGACAUCUGUACUAGUUGGAAAGUCUUUCGGUUUGGGAUGGGCCCGCGGCCUAUCAGCUUGUUGGUGAGGUAACGGCUCACCAAGGCUACGACGGGUAACCGGCCUGAGAGGGCGACCGGUCACACUGGGACUGAGACACGGCCCAGACUCCUACGGGAGGCAGCAGUGGGGAAUAUUGCGCAAUGGGCGAAAGCCUGACGCAGCGACGCCGCGUGAGGGAUGAAGGUCUUCGGAUCGUAAACCUCUUUCAGUAGGGACGAAGCGAAAGUGACGGUACCUAAAGAAGAAGCACCGGCUAACUACGUGCCAGCCGCCGCCGUAA
rnacentral:rRNA from 1 species